rnacentral:rRNA from 1 species
AUUGAACGCUGGCGGCAGGCUUAACACAUGCAAGUCGAGCGAGCGGCGGACGGGUGAGUAAUGUCUGGGAAACUGCCUGAUGGAGGGGGAUAACUACUGGAAACGGUAGCUAAUACCGCAUACCAUCAGAUGUGCCCAGAUGGGAUUAGCUAGGAGGGGGGGUAAAGGCUCACAUAGGCGACGAGCCCUAGCUGGUCUGUGAGGAUGACCAGCCACACUGGAACUUAGACACGGUCCAGAAUCCUAGGGGAGGCAGCAGUGGGGAAUAUUGCACAAUGGGCGCAAGCCUGAUGCAGCAAUGCCGCGUGUAUGAAGAAGGCCUUCGGUUUGUAAAGUACUUUCAGUGGGGAGGCGUUACCCGCAGAAGAAGCACCGGCUAACUCCGUGCCAGCAGCCGCGGUAAUAC